rnacentral:ncRNA from 2 species
GUCUUACCGUUGGGGUGCCUCCAAGAGGCUGAGAGGCGUGAACGCGCUAACCCAUCGAACCUGAUCCGGGCAAUACCGGCGUAGGGAACGGUCUACAGUCCACA